rnacentral:rRNA from 1 species
CCUACGGGGGGCAGCAGUGAGGAAUAUUGGUCAAUGGGCGAGAGCCUGAACCAGCCAAGUCGCGUGAGGGAAGACGGUCCUAUGGAUUGUAAACCUCUUUUGUCGGGGAGCAAAAAGGCCUCGUGAGGCCACAAGUGAGAGUACCCGAAGAAAAAGCAUCGGCUAACUCCGUGCCAGCAGCCGCGGUAAUACGGAGGAUGCGAGCGUUAUCCGGAUUUAUUGGGUUUAAAGGGUGCGUAGGCGGAAUUCCAAGUCAGCGGUAAAAUCGCGGGGCUCACCCUCGCUCCGCGGUUGAAACUGGCGUU